GACGAACGCUGGCGGCGUGCUUAACACAUGCAAGUCGAACGGAAAGGCCCUGCUUUUGUGGGGUGCUCGAGUGGCGAACGGGUGAGUAACACGUGAGUAACCUGCCCUUGACUUUGGGAUAACUUCAGGAAACUGGGGCUAAUACCGGAUAGGAGCUCCUGCUGCAUGGUGGUGGUUGGAAAGUUUCGGCGGUUGGGGAUGGACUCGCGGCCUAUCAGCUUGUUGGUGGGGUAGUGGCUUACCAAGGCUUUGACGGGUAGCCGGCCUGAGAGGGUGACCGGCCACAUUGGGACUGAGAUACGGCCCAGACUCCUACGGGAGGCAGCAGUGGGGAAUAUUGCACAAUGGGCGGAAGCCUGAUGCAGCAACGCCGCGUGCGGGAUGACGGCCUUCGGGUUGUAAACCGCUUUCGCCUGUGACGAAGCGUGAGUGACGGUAAUGGGUAAAGAAGCACCGGCUAACUACGUG
rnacentral:rRNA from 1 species